GAUUAACGCUGGCGGCGUGCAUAACACAUGCAAGUCGAACGAUGAAACUUAAAUGAUUUCUUCGGAAUGAACUUAAGUGGAUUAGUGGCGGACGGGUGAGUAACGCGUGAGUAACCUGCCUUACACAAGGGGAUAGCCGUUGGAAACGACGAAUAAUACCCUAUGAAACUAUCACUUCGCAUGAAGCGAUAGUCAAAGUGUUAGCGGUGUAAGAUGGACUUGCGUCUGAUUAGCUAGUUGGUGAGAAAAAAGCCCACCAAGGCAACGAUCAGUAGCCGGCUUGAGAGAGUGUACGGCCACAUUGGGACUGAGACACGGCCCAGACUCCUACGGGAGGCAGCAGGGGGGAAUUUUGCACAAUGGGGGAAACCCUGAUGCAGCGACGCCGCGUGAUUUAGAAGGCCUUCGGGUUGUAAAAAUCUUUUGUAUAGGAAGAAAAUGACAGUACUAUACGAAUAAGGUCCGGCUAAUUACGUG
rnacentral:rRNA from 1 species